UUGUGGCUAAAGUAACGUAAUAUGCAGAGGCAUGGUUCACUGCAUAUACGCUUAGGUCAUCUUAUGUCUAUGAUUCACUGAAUAAACGGUAAUUUGGCUCUGAUAUUUUGUGAUGAGAAAACAUCAAACAUAAAAACUGUGGCUUUGACAGGUCGUUCAUUUCUUAAAGUGGCUACCUAUUGGCAGCUGUAGGCAGCAACAAACACAUUCAUCAUGGGUGGUUCUCAGUACUUCUCCUAACAAUGAGUCAAAGCACUUCCUUAUACUCUCUCUUUGCGGAGAUGGAGUCACCAAGUUUGGUUCUUCUAAGCUGUUUCCUGAUACAAUGCUACGGGUCUACUCAUUUUCAUUACCUAAAGAAAGGGGAGGAGGUUACACUGUCCUGUGAAACAUGUCAAUGGGAGGCUGAUGUGGAUUCAGACAACAGAGUGGACUGCAGUGUCAUAGACAGUAUUUAUACCAUGAACUCAGACUGCCCUGCUGAAAGACAUGGUCUAUGCCAAGAGAUAAAGAGAAACAAAUCCACCAGUUGUGAAAUCCGUGUAAAGAGGGGAUUCUUUGCCUGUGUCAAUGCUGUAUCUGACUCCUGCUUCAUGCAUCCAUUCAAACCCUCUUCUCAUCAUGUGGAGUCCUUCAUUGUUGCUCAGGCAGAACGACAUUGUGUCUGGACCUGUAAUGGAAAACUCAGUGCUUGUGUCUGGAGGAGAAUCAAUUCAUCUGACGUGCACUUUUAAAAUAAAAGGGAGAUCACACACAUCAAGACCCUUCCUUGAUGAUAACAACAUCCAUAACCUGAAGAUCAGCAAUGCCACUCAGUCAGACCGUGGACAGUAUCUGUGUGUCUUACAGGUGAACAUAUAUAACCAGCAGUACUGGGCAGUAAUAACCAACACUACAGUCAUUGUGGAUAAUCCUGUGUCUCAAACUGCAAUAACUCAAAGAUUUCAGAACGGGGAGGAAGUGGAUGACGACGACUGUUCCCCUUAUGCGAUGGGCCAGGGAGAGCAGGAACCAACGUACUCACUCAUUCAGCUGACCAAUCAGAAGACUGACCCUGUGUUCAGUGGGGAUGGAGAACUCGCUUCAGACCCAUCAGCAGAUGAGGGCAUCAUGAGGAAGAACUCCAUAUAUGAAACCUCAGGUCCAUAGUCUCAACUGCCUGCCAGUUUCUUGCAGUGUGAGUUCCUGCAUAAAGACCAAGAUUACAUGAUCGGCCUGUUUAUAACCAGGCCUGUAAAUAACCGCAUUAGUCCUGUUUCAGUUAAAAUGAGGAAGGAACUCUCGCUGUCACAACUUCCUGACUGAAACCUAAAAUUUCCCCAGAUUGCUUUGUUUGUGGGCUUAUCCCACAGCUGUCAUUUCAGUUAUAGAAUAGAUAAAUAUGACUAUUGUUGUGAUUUGUUGGAUAGUCAUUUCUAAUGUUGGUACUUUGAGCCAAUAUGCUAGAGGUUGUUCAAAUGUGUUUGCAUGUGUUGUUUGUAAAUAAGCCAAACUGAUAAAUGAACUAAUUAAACUGUAAAUUAAAAAAGUCAGUCUUGAAGGAAAGGGGGCAUUUGUUUUUGUAGUUUCACAGAUACACCCAGUUUACCAGUUAAUAUGGUGAAGCAACUCUCGGUUUCACACAGUAAGCAUUGUGUGUAGUUUUUUUAGCACUCCCAAAAUACUCUGAAAGAGUCAACUUUUCUUUUUAAAGUCACUCAUUCUCUACAUAUUUUUCUGGUCUGUACAAGUUAACUGGUAACCCUCAGUUAGUCUAAAGAGAGCGACCUGUUUAUUACACUGAGGGUCUACAGAACCAAAACGAUCUACUGUCCAUUGCAAAGUAUUGCUUCCAUGUUUUUUACGGCAGUCUACUUUAGGUGACGUUGCUGGGCUCCCCACUAGAUGGAGCUAUUGUGCUAUACAUUUCACCUUAAUGUAGAUAUUAAUAUGACUAUAAGGUAAGCUGUUUCAAAUACAUCGAAAGAUUAGGCUACUUCAAUACACGUCGGCGUAAAAUUAUAUAACUGAAAUGACAUAGCUAAAUAUGCAUGAACAUUUUGUUAUAGGAGCAGUCACAGACCUUAGAAGUGAGGCAGACAUUGUAAUGCUCCAAGAAGCUCACUGAUCUGAAUUGGAUGUCAAAUUUUGGAGAUCACAAUGGGGAAAU
rnacentral:lncRNA from 1 species